AAAUUGAAGAGUUUGAUCAUGGCUCAGAUUGAACGCUGGCGGCAGGCCUAACACAUGCAAGUCGAACGGUAACAGGAAGCAGCUUGCUGUUUCGCUGACGAGUGGCGGACGGGUGAGUAAUGUCUGGGAAACUGCCCGAUGGAGGGGGAUAACUACUGGAAACGGUAGCUAAUACCGCAUAACGUCGCAAGACCAAAGAGGGGGAC
rnacentral:rRNA from 1 species